GCCGGGUGGGCUUUGCGGUCCAGGAGGGAGGAGGCCCAGCACCCCGUCUCCUAGCAGCACGCCGGCGGCGCACAGCGUACGGAGCGGAGAAAUGCCGGGCUGCUGGGCGGGGACCCAGAGGUUCCCAGGGUCUUCUGGGCCGGGCCAUCCCCAGGGCAGCGGGGAGAGGACAGGGUCUGAGGCCUUGUGUUCACCGCUCUGAGCACCUGGGACGAGGCAUGAAAACAAGUCAGCCCUGAACCUGGAGAACCUGGUGCCUGCCCACCGGAGCAGAGCUCCUGUGACCCACCUCCCCUCCACCUGCUGAAACGUCACUGGCACCCAGCAGGUCCCCGGCCUGCCGGUGAAAAGUACCACCUGCUCCUUCCCGGGCACCUGACUGGACCAGUUUCCGGAGGAUUUUUGUCAACCCUCGGCCUAAAGCAGUUUAUGGCUUACGUGCAGCUCAGCAUGCUGGGCUCAGACCUGGAGCCCCAGGCCUACCUUCUUCUGACCCAGCCGGGGGACCAGGAGCCCAGGAGGCAGAGCCGAGCCCAGGCUCCACUGCCCUCCCGCGGUGAGGCUGGCUCCAGCGCCAGCUGCUGUACUAUCUCAAGACCUCGAUCCAGCUGCAUCACUGCAGUGCCAGGGCCAGCUCCAGAGAGGCCCAGCAAAAACAAGGCAAACGUCACUGGUAGAAAGACAACUGAACCUGGGAAAGCAUUCCUCAGAACCCAAAGCCAGAGGAAGGUCACCAAGGUCAUCUUCUAAACAGCUUGGCACUGGCAGGCACUGAGCUGCGCUCCUCAGGGUCUGGGUGGUCAGACAGGUAAGUACUUGCAGACUGUAGCAGACUGAGCUACCUGGGCAUUUUCUGCCCCACUACCAGCCCAAGCUACUCUCAGAUUCCACUUUUACCCUGAAAUUCUCUUGCUGUUGAGAAUAUAUAUGGUGUCAUAUACGAGAAAUGAGCGGUCUAUAGGCUGACUUACCUCCAUAGACCACUCACAGCCUUGGACGCCUUCUGUUCUCUGGGAUCCAAAGACCAGCUCAGUUUUGCCAAGGAGCACUGCCAUGGGUGUGGAGGCGUGUGUGCCCACCACCAUCACUGUCCUCGAGGACUUCCCUCGUGUCUCCCUGGGGGUGGGUCACUGCCACCUGUGCCCACAGGCACCCCAGAGCACCACUCCUGCAUGGCUCUGACCACUGCAAAGCCAGCCUUCCAUUCAGCUACAAGGGCCCCAUCAAAGAGCCAGGACCAACAGCAACUCCAAGUCCACAGGACCCCAGGACCCCAAGUCCUGUGAACAUUACAGACGCAGCCCUCCGUCAGCAGAGAGUUCAGUGAGCACUCUGGCAGCUCCUUUGGCUCCGAAGUGAAGGGGAUCAACAUGAGCUUUGUCUUCGAGUCCUCCGAUGGCCAAGAAAAGAAGCUGAGCACCCGCCUCUUCUCCCUGACAGCACUUCUGCAGCCCCUCUCAGUGCUCCCCAAUCUGUACCCACAAAAGGAACCAGGAAGCCCUCAAAGCUGCAACCUGGCAUGUGAUGCCCUGCAGAGUCCAGGGCUACUGCUGCCCCUUGCCAUCCCCCAGUGUUCUGGGAGUCGACCUCCUCAAAGUCCCCCCAAAUCCACAGCAUUAGCUCAGCUUCUAGCAGCAUCUGCUUUUCAGUGUGGUUGCCUGUGACUGUCCCACGCAGCCACCAGGCCUGUGUCUCAGGGGUCUGCGGGCACAGCUCCAGCAGCACCUCUUUUUCAGUGUGGUUGCCUGUGACUGUCCCACGCAGCCAGCAGCCCUGUGUCUCGGGUCUGCGGGCACAGCUCCAGCAGGCAGGCGAUGCUGCUCCAUGCCCGUCAGCCUGGAGGAGGACAACAUGCACAAGAGCACCCUGGUCAUCUGAAUGGGUGGGGCGUGGUCCCCGCGCUCAGACCUCUCUGGGCAUAGACCUCUCCUGAACAGGUGCCCUUCAAGCAGCACAGCCAGACCCAGGGGGGGCACGCCAGCGCUCCGCUGCACCAUGAGGACACAGAGGCGGUCUCCUUAGCCCUGGGUGGCUCCUGGGGAUCCAUGCUCAUUAAGCUCGCUCCAGGUCUAAGAUGCUGUGGCUCUGGUCGGACCACCUGGAUUGUGUCUCCUGCCCACCCCCAACCUGCAGUGGCCCCUGACUCCUUGCUUGGCGCUCAGAGCCCUAUGUGUUCGGAUCCAGAGGACUUCCCCAGGGUGCACCGUCACCCUCCCUCCCUUCAGCCUCCCUAGAGCCUUCUUCACCCAUGGACCCCACCGCCCUUGCCUCCUCACAGCCCCAGCCUGCAGUGCCCCUCCCUAUACUCCCCCAUCCACAGUGGACUCACCUCCAAGCCUGGGCUCAGGGGCCACGUCUUGGGCUCCUGGGCACAGCAUGGCCUUUCGGGUCAGAUUGACCUGGGGCCAGUCACAGCCCUGUGACAAGCAAUCUUCCUGGUGACUUCUCAGAGUCUCACUUUGGCUGGGCUUGGUCACUUAGAGCUGAGUGACCCUGAGCAUCCAUGCCAUGGCUCAUCUAUAAAUUUGGGUGAGCUCACUGAGUGUCCAGGAGGGGCUCCCUAAUAACAGGAAUUACCCCCAACACUCACUCGGCCCUCCCUGUGGGGCCACCUCCUCUGGGGGCUCCCUCCAGCCGCUGCUACACCAGCCAGGGCCAGGCUGUACCCGGUGCGUGUCCCGGGGUCCUGCCAGAGAAGGCAGGGAGAGGCGGGUGUGGAGGAGGAGGGGCGGGGGCGGCCUGACCUUCUCCUGCCCAGGCCCGUGUCUACGCUACCUCUAGGCCCCCUGACCCAGCCGUGCACCGCGCUGGCCUCGGGGAGGAGUCUCGGGACCAGGACAGCAGGUUGUGUAUGGGGGGUAUUCCGUGACUUUCAUGUUCCUAGGUCUCCAGCCAGCCUGACUGGAGUAGGGUGGCCCGGGGGUCCCAGGGGUCAUGGGGUCGCAGAGCAGCGGACGUUGGGGCCGUGCGAUAACGGCCGGGCUGGGAGCCAUUGGUGCCCUGAGCUCACGCGCUCAGUGCACCAUCGGCUGAUGCUGAUGUUGGGUCUCGUGCCCGCGCUGCCUGGGGUCUGCAUGUGCGCCGGGAGGUGGACUUGGACGCUAGGCCGGCGGCCCCGCGCUGAGUCCGCACGUGGGAGGGAGGCCCCUUGCACCCCUGAGCGCAUCCUGCUGCACCCACCCGGGGGCCUGGGGACCAGGAGCCCAGGCCGUGUCCACACCGAGUGGGGCUCCCACAGUUCCGUGUCCAUCCCCUCCUGGGACAAUCGGGGGAAUCUGAGAGCAGGAGAGUCGGGGACUGGCCCAGGGCCCGAGAGGUGGGCCGAGUUCAGAGGAGAAGGGAGGGUUCAGUACCCCGAGGCCAGGGUUUGCUUUGGGAAUGAUAGCCCCUAGGAUCCUGAGGGACCCCCUGCACACCUCUCCCACGUGGGGCCCUUUCCUCUGUGCAUCCCCACUUGGGCACAGGUGUGGCGCAUGCGCGACCUCAUGUUUUCUCCCCAUCCAUCUACUAUUCUUGGUAUGCAGAGUACAUUUUUGUAGUACAGUAUAUGAGAAACUUAGCAGUGUUACCUGUGGAAUGGAGCAAUGAGGUAGAUGACAUAAUUUAAAACAUUCUGGAUGUUGUGAGAUUAUUUUUAUAAUACACAUAGCUUUUUUAAUUUUCAAAAAUAGUUUAUACAUUGAAGCAAUGUGAGAAAAGGCACUUUUAAUGUUUCUUUCAACAGGCAAAAAAUGUAGGGCUAACUUUUUGUUUUAAAAGACGUCAUUUUAGAAGUAAUUAUUUUAUUGUUGAUUGUCUAUAGUUGCAGAGAAAAAUUCACAAAUUGUAAAUUAAGUAGAUUACUAUUUAGAAUGUGCUUCACCUGAGCUUGGGAAAUAUUUUGUGACUCUGUAGAUGGGUUUGUUUAUUUCGGAAAUAUAACUGAGGAAAAACAACUGUAUGAUAAAAAAUAGUUACCUUUUAAUUGAGAAUAGUUACGUAUUAGUUACCUAUUAGUAUUCCUUCUAAUACAGAACUUCCAUCUUGUUGAACGGUAUGAGGACUUCGUUUGGGUCUCCUGCCCUCUAGUGGUCAUUUAUCAAAAUGCAGAGAAGCUUGUAUUAGGUGAACCCCCUGAAAUUAUACAACCCAGGUGUGGGGAUCAGGUUGGGAAUUUUGGAGAUUAGAGGAACCUGAGAAAUUUUCUGACUUGAUUUCCUCAUCUUUGCAACAUAAACACCAUGUGUCGAUUACAUAUUCCCUUGAGAUUACUGAUAUAAAAUUCAAUUCUGGCAUCUUUUGACUAUUUGACUUAGUAAAUUAUCCAAAGCUACCGUUAUUUUCUGUAAUUUUUUUACAUAUAUGGUAUAAUCAUAGAUCUUAUCGCUAUUGCAUAAAGGUUGUUUUGCAAGUAAAUAAACACUUUAAAAUGUA